GAUGAACGCUGGCGGCGUGCCUAACACAUGCAAGUCGAACGAAGCACCUUACCUUAUUCUUCGGACGAGAGUUUGGUGACUGAGUGGCGGACGGGUGUGUAACGCGUGGGUAACCUGCCCUGUACAAGGGGAUAACAGCUGGAAACGGCUGCUAAUACCGCAUACGCGCACGGGGAGACAUCUCCUUGUCUGAAAAGCUCCGGUGGUACAGUAUGGGCCCGCGUCUGAUUAGCUGGUUGGCAGGGUAACGGCCUACCAAGGCAACGAACAGUAGCCGGGAUGAGAGGAGGAACGGACACAUUGGAACUGAGACACGGUCCAAACUCCUACGGGAGGCAGCAGUGGGGAAUAUUGCACAAUGGGGGAAACUCUGAUGAAGCAGCGCGGCGUGAGUGAAGAAGUAUUUCGGUAUGUAAAGCUCUAUCAGCAGGGAAGAUAAUGACGGUACCUGACAAAGAAGCACCGGCUAACUACGUG
rnacentral:rRNA from 1 species